rnacentral:sRNA from 1 species
CCUUGGGCUGCCCACCUACCGCUACCACGUCCUGCUGGGGCUGGUCGUGUCCCUGGGUGGCUUGACGGAGUCGACGGUGAGGAGGCAUCGGGCUGGCUGGGGCAGGAGGUGGUGGCUCUAGGGGUGCCUGGUGCUUCCCCGUCUCUUGGGAGCGUGUAUGGAGCUGGGCCUUUUUUUCCAUUGCUUUCUAUCUCUCUCGGGCAUAUUUGGUUAGGGGGUCAGGGGCCCAGUGUCUUCCUCAUGACCCAGGAGGCUUAGGGCCUGUGGGAUGGUUGAGUCUGAUGAAGGUGGAACAGCAUGUUGAGUGGAGGCCAGCAGCAGACUUUGAAGUGGGCCGGCGCCACUCUCUUCCUGUGGCCGCAGCCCUGGAGCUCCCAGCAUCCCCUCGGGGUUCAACCCUCCAGGACCUGUGUCUUGACGCCUGCAUGUGGGUACCUGGGCUCCAUCGGGUUCUGGGUCUGCCUCCGCCCUCCACUUCCAGGGCUCCAGGCCCAGCUUUCCAUGUCUGUGGGGAGGGUCUCCAGAGCGUCAGUCUGUGGCUGAGCUGUGGAACUUGAAGGCGUCUCUGCCUUGUCACUCGUGGCCCCUGCGCCUUGGGUCUUGACCUGCUUUGUGUGGCAACGCUGUGACGGCUGCUGCGUCCUAGAAAACACGUAACAGGACGUGAGGUGCCCUCUGUGCCGUGCGGGCGUGUGGGGAGACCCGGGCCACAUGCGAGCAUGGCCCCGAGACAUUGUGCACACAGGGGAGUUGUGGGGAUUGUCAAAUCCCGCUUGAGUGGGAAAUGUGAGCGAAACCCAAUGGGAGUGGCCACAGCCUUUCGUCCUGUGCGCUCCCCCACAUCCUAAGUGAGAGCUCAGGCUGAGCUGGCCGCUGCCGAGAGCCGUGUGUCUGCUUCGGGUGUCUGCACCGUGGGUGGCUCUGUGCUGGCUUCCGCACCAGCCACUGGGGGCCAGACCUUCGCGUCUCUGCAGCUUGGAGCAGUUCUGCUCUUCAGCAGAUGCUUGACCGGCUGUAGUCAAGCCUGGGGGGUGGCAGGCUCGGGGGUCCCACUGCCUUCUGAGGUGUCUCCGUGUUGCAGAUCCGGCACUCCACCCAGAGCCUCUUUGAGUACAUGAAGGGCAUUCAGAGUGACCCGCAGGCCCUGGGCAGCUUCAGCGGGACCCUUCUGCAGAUCUUUGAGGACAACCUUCUGAAUGAGAGGGUGUCUGUGCCGCUGCUGAAGACGCUGGACCACGUGCUCACCCACGGCUGCUUCGACAUCUUCACCACGGAGGAGGACCACCCCUUUGCUGUGAAGUUGCUUGCGCUUUGUAAGAAAGAAAUCAAGAAUUCAAAAGACGUCCAGAAACUCCUGUCAGGCAUUGCAGUGUUCUGCGGGAUGGUGCAGUUCCCCGGCGAUGUGAGGAGGAAGGCCCUCCUGCAGCUGUGUCUGCUCCUCUGCCACCGCUUCCCACUGAUCCGGAAGACUACGGCCAGCCAGGUGUACGAGACAUUGCUCACCUACAGUGACAUCGUGGGCGCGGACGUGCUGGACGAGGUGGUGACUGUGCUCAGUGACACCGCGUGGGACGCGGAGCUUGCAGUGGUGAGAAAGCAGCGCAACCGUCUGUGUGACCUCCUGGGCGUGCCCAGGCCCCAGCUGGUGCCCCAGCCUGGUGCCUGCUGAAGCCAGUCCUGGAGCCCAUACCGGAGCCCAUACCUCACCCUGCUUGGUGAGGAUGUCUUGUUCCUGAAGGAGGCCGGUGUGGAAAGCCUGGCACAGUGGUGCCUCCAGCUGUUGAAGGGUAGCGCUGGCCCUUGGAGGCUGGCACCAGCUGACAGCUUUUCCUCUCUGCACCUGUGCUCUAGUGACCUGGGGUGGAUGCCUCUGCCUUCACUUGAACACAAAUGUGCUUCCUAUAAAAUCAUGUACCAAGAA